rnacentral:tRNA from 1 species
GGUCCCCUGGUCUAAAGGUUACGACACCGGCCUUUCAAGCCGGGAAUGCAGGGUUCAAGUCCCGUGGGGAUCA